rnacentral:lncRNA from 1 species
CACCCGUCCCUGCCCAGUUGUGACUAUCCAGCUACCUCCACACUACUAGUCCGUGGAGAGCAAGUCCAACCGGCAUGAGGGACACCAACGCGAAAGCACAAAGCCCAUCUCCGGAGUGGCACUCGUGGGCGCUACCCAACCCAGUAUGCAGCGUAUCUCUGUCGAGCUCAAUCAGGCUCUGUCAAGCCAAAGUCCAAGUAAACAGGGUCAAAACAGGUCUACAAACCAACCCAUGUGCCUUCGGUAUAAUCUGGGACCAAAACCAGAAUCUGGGUCCACCGCUAACCCGGGCGGCGCCCAACAAACCGAAACAGCCUAGACUCUGCUGAAAAAUAAGCUCGGCAUCCCAGCACGAGCGUAAAUGCCUUCUAAACUACCCCAGAUAUCCAUCGCACUGAUGCUGCAACGAUACAAUCGAACCACGGCUUCUAGAGCUAAAUCUGGUAGUUCAAGUAUAUGACGGAUCAAAACGCAGAUUUUCUCCUAAGUCAAAUUCCAAGUCCAACAUGUAUAAUAUAAAUAUUCAUUUCAGCAUGCUUCUACAUUCAUAUUGCAGUCAAGAUGCUAAUCGAUGAAUUUAAGCAUGAUAUACAAGAACCGAACUAUACACGUCAACUAAACAUGCACUUAGGAGCGAAACUGAUGAUACACCCAUCUCUAAUGAAAUUUCUGGCAGCAAGAUGGUCUCGGAUCACAAGUAACACAGCUGGUAUCACCUCCAAACCAGCAACAAGUCCUCCCAAAAUCUGGACAUUACAAUUCACCCAAAAAUCCAUCAAAACCAUCAAUUUACCAAAAAUUUCAGCACUUAAGCUUAAUUAUCUCAAUUCCAAUGUCAAAACUCACCUAAUGAUCUCCAAUUCGGGUGAGGACGGAUCCAAAUCCAGCAAAUACUGAUGGGUGAUCAAUCUCAGGUCCAAAAUCCCACUGCCUACAAAGUUAGCAUCAAGAAAAGCUCAAAAUCCCAAUUUUCAGCUCAAAGUCAACAGCAGUCCAGAAAAACCUCAGUUCUACCAAGCUAACCUCAUCCAAAAUCUGCAAUUCAGGCCUUCGUGGAUUCCUCUAGAAGUCUAGAAUCUAGCAAACCAAGUUUCGUCGAAUUCCGACCUUCCUACGUCGCGCACGAGCCAAAAUACUGGAGGUCGUCGCUGAAAAAUUACAGAAUCAGCACCUUGAAAUUCUUGGAGAUGUGGAUCUUGAUGCAAAUUGGAAAUAUUGGAGGGAUUAGGGAGCAAAAUCUAAGUUCUCUGUGAAGAACAGGUAAAAGAGCUCAAAGGGGACGCAUACAAGGUAUAUAUAGGCUGCUGGGAGGAAUAAGAUAAGUCCCAGGAGAAACAGCUGGUAUCCAGUGUUCUUGCAGAAUCGGGCGUUUCUGGGCGCCCGGAACCAUGUUCUGGGCGACCAGAACAUCCCGACUGCACAACUCAUACACCUCGGACUCUCCGCUCGCGGUCUGCUGCCCCCGUAAACGACUCCGACGGAACUCACCUACACCCUGCCACGCGUCGAAGCAAGCGAUAUUCAUUAUGUAGAAUUUUCGGACCCACUUCUGGGCGCCUGGAACAUAGGAUCCGAAUUGGCUUCCAGUUUCAGCUAAAUUCAACACUCAGUUCUGGGCGACCUAAACCAUGUUCUGGGCGCCCGAAUCUGGCAAAACUCCAGUUUUGCCUAUUUGAGUGCGCCGAAUCCAAUUCUGCAUCCAAUUCGUGCAGAAUUGACUCCGACUCAGUCCGACACUCUCCAGAGAUGUCGACCAGUCACUAAUACUGAAGCCAAUCCUAUCCAAAGCUCAGGAACACUACAUGCUCGCAAAUCGAGCCAUUUCCGGAGUACUUCAUGAAAAACAGUUUAUUCAUUAAGGUUCUCGCCAAGACUUUAUCGGAGCUGACAAACUGCUCCUCAAUGGCCUUUAGAUAAUUCUUGGCUUUAUCACAUUCUGGGAUUGAUCCCCUUAUACUUUUUGAUACCUUUGACUUUAUGAGCAUCAAACUUAAGCGGUUGGAUCGCUCCUAUUUUUCCUGCGCGGAUUCCUACUGUGGAGUCAAUGGCCCCACUAUCUUAGGCGGUUGCUUAACGCGCAGAGCCAACUCUAAAUUCAUACACCUUAAUAUAAACAUGAUUUGUUCUUUCCACUCCGAAUAAUUAGAACCAUUAAGUAUAGGAACAGAUUCACCAAUAGGAACAAAGGAUAAAGUCAUAAUUGAAAUAGAAUGCAUGUUUUAUCAGUAAAAUACCACAUCAUAAAUUACCACAUCAAAAUUAGAAAAAUACACUUUAUAUGACAUCACAACCCUUCCUUUGGGAGCAGAGUUAUGAGCAUAAGUAUUUUUCGUUCUUUAUGCAUAUACUUUAUAUGACAUCACAACCCCUCCUUUGGGAGCAGAAUUAUGAGUAUAAUAUACAAUCUCUUCAUCAGAGACUAAUUUAAACUUUCUGCAGGUCUUAGUAAUUUCAAAUUUUUCAUAUAGAAAAAUUGUGAGCUUUGGCCAGACAAAUUUCUCCAAACGAGUUAUAAGAAAAUUACCAUCCUACACCACCCAUGUACUUUCAUGUCUAGACCUCCUUUGGGAGCAGACUAAACAUAAUAUUAGGGUGCAAUUUCGCAUGCACUUCUUUAAAGCAAUUAAUUUAUCUUUUCUUCCGGUCGGGACCGCUUUGGCUUGCACUCGAACAGUUGAAUCAAUAAAUUAAUCUGACUUAGUGCUGUAUGAUUAACAUGAAAAUUUUCCGAAAGUGCUACUUUAAAGUAAAUUAAAUCAUUAUUUCCUUUAAUUAGGCCCACUUUGGCUUGCACCUAACCAAUCAAAUAAUAAAUUAAUUUAACUUAACGCCAAACAUUAAAUAAUCGAAAAACAAUUAUGAUCAUUUAAUUUUCAUGUUCAUCCGGUCAAAAUAAGAAUAUAAAUACGAUAAUUUAAAGCAUAAUAUCGCAAUCAAAUUUAAACUUUAUAUAUUCUAAUUUGACCACAAAUAAGAUAAAUAAAUUAAUAUUAUAUACAAAAUCAAAGCUUUAUGUGUCACGCCCCGGAUGUCUCGUUCCCCGGGCACGCCGACAAAUCCGCCGUAUACAAGGAAUUUCCCCUGUAUACGAAGCGUCAAAAGUACCUGUAAAUAUACAAUACUACAAACAGUAGCAUAGAGCUGCUCAAUAUACAAAGCUAAACAACUGAGUUUCAUAUACAUAGUCCAAAUCCAAAAUACAAAGCUACUCGCACCGGCGAGUUAAACAACUAUGUACAUAAACUCUAAAAUAGCAACUACCUGCAGUAGGGGGGGUGCCUCUAGCUCUGUCAGUCGGGUAGGGCUCUACCUCGCGACGCCCUUGCCUCGAUCCUGAUCCGCGGAAGGCGCAGUAGCCGAAACCUGUGGCUCUGCAAAACAUAGGUAACAACUGGGCGUGAGAACUACUGUAAAAACAAGUAGUCCUCAGUGGGUACCGCCCAAAACGACAUCGGUCACCCACUAAGUCUACAGAAGGGAGCAAGGAUAGAAGGAAAAGCAGGAAGUACACUCUAUCGCUAUCAUCCACUACACUAUCAUGCUCUACAUUAACCGACUGUAGGAAAUGUCAAAUCUGACCCAAUCCAAUUGGGACUGUAAACAUACCCGUCCCUGGGACUGUGAACACACCCGUCCCUGCCCCGUUGCGACUAUCAGGCUCUAUCCACACUAGCUGGUCCGUGGAGAGCAAGUCCAACUGGCAUGAGCGACACCAACGCAAAAGCACCGCGCCCGCCUCCGGAGUGGCACUCGUGGGAGCUACCCAACCGAGUAUGCAGCGUAUCUCUGUCGAGCUCAAACAGGCUCUCUAACUCAAGCCGAAGUCCAGUAACAACUCUGACUAGUCUAAAUACAACAAACAACGUGCCCUCGGCACAAUCCGACGCCAAAACGGCGAACCGGGCCCACCGUCAGUCCCGACGGCGCCCACUAGUACGAAACAGUCUAAACGACCUCAGAAAAAUUCACUCGGCAUACCAGCACGAGCGUAAAUGUAUUCUAAACUACCUGGAGUACUCGUCUACAGUAUGCUGCGACAGUACAAUUCUAUAACGGCUCCUAGAGCUAAAUCAGGCAGUUUAAUACAUAUGUCGAUUCCAAUCGCGUUUUCUCCUAAGUUUAAACCCAGUCCAACAUGUAUAUUUAAAAGGUAAUAAUCAUGUUAUAUAUGCAGCAUUUAUCCAGGAUAUCAUUAUGAAAAACGAACUACAACAUGAUUUACCGAACAGAAAAUCAUACAUGUCGACUAUUACUACACUUAGGAAUAAACCGAUGUAAACCCACCUUAGUCGCUAAUUCUGGCAGCAAAACACCCUCACAGCUGCAGCACCACCUGCUGGUCGAUCUACACCCUCCAAAUCCGGGAGUCGAGCUAACACCACGCUCUACAAAGCACAAAUCACCGUUUCAGUCCCAAAAUUCGCAACAGUCAGGUACAGCACGGAUUCGACCAAUCUAACCUCAACGAAAUCUGGCAAGUAAGGGCUUCGUGGAUUCCUCUCGAAGUCCUGAAUCCAGCGAAUCAAGCCUCGUCGAAAUCCGACGCUCCUACGUCGAGUACGAGCCGAAACGCCAACGGUCGACGCUGGAAAUCUGCAGGGACAGCAACUAGCUCGAAAUUGAAAAAGCUUGGAAAUUAGGAAGCAAUUCUAUGGAAC